rnacentral:rRNA from 1 species
GACGAACGCUGGCGGCGUGCUUAACACAUGCAAGUCGAACGGAAAGGCCCUGCUUUUGUGGGGUGCUCGAGUGGCGAACGGGUGAGUAACACGUGAGUAACCUGCCCUUGACUUUGGGAUAACUUCAGGAAACUGGGGCUAAUACCGGAUAGGAGCUCCUGCUGCAUGGUGGGGGUUGGAAAGUUUCGGCGGUUGGGGAUGGACUCGCGGCUUAUCAGCUUGUUGGUGGGGUAGUGGCUUACCAAGGCUUUGACGGGUAGCCGGCCUGAGAGGGUGACCGGCCACAUUGGGACUGAGAUACGGCCCAGACUCCUACGGGAGGCAGCAGUGGGGAAUAUAGCACAAUGGGCGGAAGCCUGAUGCAGCAACGCCGCGUGCGGGAUGACGGCCUUCGGGUUGUAAACCGCUUUCGCCUGUGACGAAGCGUGAGUGACGGUAAUGGGUAAAGAAGCACCGGCUAACUACGUGCCAGCAGCCGCGGUGAUACGUAGGGUGCGAGCGUUGUCCGGAUUUAUUGGGCGUAAAGGGCUCGUAGGUGGUUGAUCGCGUCGGAAGUGUAAUCUUGGGGCUUAACCCUGAGCGUGCUUUCGAUACGGGUUGACUUGAGGAAGGUAGGGGAGAAUGGAAUUCCUGGUGGAGCGGUGGAAUGCGCAGAUAUCAGGAGGAACACCAGUGGCGAAGGCGGUUCUCUGGGCCUUUCCUGACGCUGAGGAGCGAAAGCGUGGGGAGCGAACAGGCUUAGAUACCCUGGUAGUCCACGCUGUAAACGGUGGGUACUAGGUGUGGGGUCCAUUCCACGGGUUCCGUGCCGUAGCUAACGCUUUAAGUACCCCGCCUGGGGAGUACGGCCGCAAGGCUAAAACUCAAAGGAAUUGACGGGGCCCCGCACAAGCGGCGGAGCAUGCGGAUUAAUUCGAUGCAACGCGUAGAACCUUACCUGGGUUUGACAUGGAUCGGGAGUGCUCAGAGAUGGGUGUGCCUCUUUUGGGGUCGGUUCACAGGUGGUGCAUGGCUGUCGUCAGCUCGUGUCGUGAGAUGUUGGGUUAAGUCCCGCAACGAGCGCAACCCUUGUUCACUGUUGCCAGCACGUUAUGGUGGGGACUCAGUGGAGACCGCCGGGGUCAACUCGGAGGAAGGUGGGGAUGACGUCAAGUCAUCAUGCCCCUUAUGUCCAGGGCUUCACGCAUGCUACAAUGGCUGGUACAGAGAGUGGCGAGCCUGUGAGGGUGAGCGAAUCUCGGAAAGCCGGUCUCAGUUCGGAUUGGGGUCUGCAACUCGACCUCAUGAAGUCGGAGUCGCUAGUAAUCGCAGAUCAGCAACGCUGCGGUGAAUACGUUCCCGGG